rnacentral:rRNA from 1 species
CCUACGGGGGGCAGCAGUGGGGAAUAUUGGACAAUGGGGGCAACCCUGAUCCAGCAAUUCUGUGUGCACGAAGAAGGUUUUCGGAUUGUAAAGUGCUUUCAGCAGGGAAGAAGGAAGUGACGGUACCUGCAGAAGAAGCGACGGCUAAAUACGUGCCAGCAGCCGCGGUAAUACGUAUGUCGCGAGCGUUAUCCGGAAUUAUUGGGCAUAAAGGGCAUCUAGGCGGCCUAACAAGUCAGGGGUGAAAACCUGCGGCUCAACCGCAGGCUUGCCUUUGAAACUGUAAGGCUGGAGUACCGGAGAGGUGGACGGAACUGCACGAGUAGAGGUGAAAUUCGUAGAUAUGUGCAGGAAUGCCGAUGAUGAAGAUAGUCCACUGGACGGAAACUGACGCUGAAGUGCGAAAGCCGGGGGAGCGAACAGGAUUAGAUACCCCAGUAGUC